GAUGAACGCUGGCGGCGUGCCUAAUACAUGCAAGUCGAGCGAACAGACGAGGAGCUUGCUCCUCUGACGUUAGCGGCGGACGGGUGAGUAACACGUGGAUAACCUACCUAUAAGACUGGGAUAACUUCGGGAAACCGGAUCUAAUACCGGAUAAUAUAUUGAACCGCAUGGUUCAAUAGUGAAAGACGGUUUUGCUGUCACUUAUAGAUAGAUCCGCGCCGCAUUAGCUAGUUGGUAAGGUAACGGCUUACCAAGGCGACGAUGCGUAGCCGACCUGAGAGGGUGAUCGGACACACUGGAACUGAGACACGGUCCAGACUCCUACGGGAGGCAGCAGUAGGGAAUCCUCCGCAAUGGGCGAAAGCCUGACGGAGCAACGCCGCGUGAGUGAUGAAGGUCUUCGGAUCGUAAAACUCUGUUAUUAGGGAAGAACAAAUGUGUAAGUACCUAUGCACGUCUUGACGGUACCUAAUCAGAAAGCCACGGCUAACUACGUG
rnacentral:rRNA from 1 species